rfam:Camelus ferus unplaced genomic scaffold scaffold705, whole genome shotgun sequence.
GGAGGAUACAGCUCAGUGGUACAGUGCCUGCUUAGCAUGCACGAGGUCCUGGGUUCAAUCCCCAGUACCUCCA